rnacentral:rRNA from 1 species
AUGGCAUCCCCAUCGGAUGCUCAUUCCGCCACUAGCGGCGGCGGCGCGGCGGCUGCUAAACAAGACCUUGGCGAUAUCUUCAAUCAACUGGAUCUCAAUGACGAUAACUUUGAUGAUGUCGAGAUUGAUGAGGAAGAUCCAGAGAUCAAUGAAAGCGUCAGGUGGCUUGCCCUAGCGAGGGUACACACUGAAAAAAAAUUCAGUCAAUCAGCAUUCUAUAAGGAUAUGCGUGCGGCUUGGAAUCCAGCGCAAAGGGUACGGUUCCGACCGGUUGGACCGAAUUUGUUCGUCGUCCAAGCAUCUUUCUUGGGGGACUGGGAACGUAUGAUGAGGCAAGGGCCCUGGUUGUUCAGUAACUGGGCUGUUUUGAUGUGUCCAUAUGAUGGGUUCAGUAAAACAGAGGAAAUCGACAUUGUUCAUAUGUCGAUCUGGCUA